AGUGAACGCUGGCGGUAGGCCUAACACAUGCAAGUCGAACGGCAGCACAGUAAGAGCUUGCUCUUACGGGUGGCGAGUGGCGGACGGGUGAGGAAUACAUCGGAAUCUACUUUUUCGUGGGGGAUAACGUAGGGAAACUUACGCUAAUACCGCAUACGACCUACGGGUGAAAGCGGGGGAUCUUCGGACCUUGCGCGAUUGAAUGAGCCGAUGUCGGAUUAGCUAGUUGGCGGGGUAAAGGCCCACCAAGGCGACGAUCCGUAGCUGGUCUGAGAGGAUGAUCAGCCACACUGGAACUGAGACACGGUCCAGACUCCUACGGGAGGCAGCAGUGGGGAAUAUUGGACAAUGGGCGCAAGCCUGAUCCAGCAAUACCGCGUGGGUGAAGAAGGCCUUCGGGUUGUAAAGCCCUUUUGUUGGGAAAGAAAAGCAGCAGGUUAAUACCCCGCUGUUCUGACGGUACCCAAAGAAUAAGCACCGGCUAACUUCGUG
rnacentral:rRNA from 1 species